rnacentral:rRNA from 1 species
UCAAGCUACAAAGGGCGCAUGGUGAAUGCCUUGGCAUCAGGAGCCGAUGAAGGACGUGAUAAGCUGCGAUAAGCUUCGGGUAGGCGCACAUAGCCUGAGAUCCGAAGAUCUCCGAAUGAGGAAACUCACAUGGGAAACCCCAUGUAUCAUUAAGUGAAUACAUAGCUUAAUGAAGGUAACCCAGGGAACUGAAACAUCUAAGUACCUGGAGGAAGAGAAAGAAAAAUCGAUUUUCUUAGUAGCGGCGAGCGAAAGGGAAAGAGCCCAAACCGGAAACUUGUUUCCGGGGUUGUGGACAGAACAUAACGAUUGGUAGGACGUAAUCGAAGAGAACUGGAAAGUUCCACCGUAGAAGGUAAUAGUCCUGUAGAUGAAACGGGAAAUCAAUCAGUUCUGAUCCAGAGUACCACGAGACACGUGAAACCUUGUGGGAAGCAGGGAGGACCACCUCCCAAGGCUAAAUACUACCUGAUGACCGAUAGUGAAGCAGUACCGUGAGGGAAAGGUGAAAAGAACCCCGGGAGGGGAGUGAAAUAGAACCUGAAACCGUGUGCCUACAACCGCUCAAAGCCCCUUAUGAGGGUGAUGAGGUGCUUUUUGUAGAACGAGCCAACGAGUUACGGUAUGUAGCAAGGUUAAGUACUUAAGGUACGGAGCCGAAGGGAAACCGAGUCUGAAUAGGGCGACUAGUUGCAUGCCGUAGACCCGAAACCGGGUGACCUAUCCAUGGCCAGGUUGAAGCGAGGGUAAAACCUCGUGGAGGACCGAACCACGUUGCUGUUGAAAAAGCAUGGGAUGAGCUGUGGAUAGCGGAGAAAUUCCAAUCGAACCCGGAGAUAGCUGGUUCUCUCCGAAAUAGCUUUAGGGCUAGCGUCGAGUAUGAGUAGUGGAGGUAGAGCACUGAAUGGGCUAGGGGGCAUAGCGCUUACCGAACCUUAUCAAACUCCGAAUGCCACAUACUUUGAGCUCGGCAGUCAGACUACGAAUGAUAAGAUCCGUGGUCAAAAGGGAAACAGCCCAGAUCGUCAGCUAAGGUCCCAAAGUGUAAGUUAAGUGGGAAAGGAUGUGAGAUUUCUAAGACAACUAGGAUGUUGGCUUAGAAGCAGCCAUUCAUUAAAAGAGUGCGUAAUAGCUCACUAGUCGAGAGAUCUUGCGCCGAAAAUGUAACGGGGCUAAACUUACCACCGAAGCUACGGGCUUGAACUUAGUUCAAGCGGUAGGAGAGCGUCGUAACCGGGCUGAAGUCGUACCGUAAGGAGCGGUGGACUGGUUACGAGUGAGAAUGUUGGCAUCAGUAGCGAGAUGUGGGUGAGAAUCCCACAGGCCGAAAAUCUAAGGUUUCCUCAGGAAGGUUCGUCCGCUGAGGGUUAGUCGGGACCUAAGCCGAGGUCGAAAGGCGUAGGUGAUGGACAACUGGUUGAUAUUCCAGUACCACUACCAUCGUUAUUAUCGAUGGCGUGACGCAGGAGGAUAGUGUGUGCUAGCUAUUGGAUGCUAGUCUAAGCGUUUAGGCAGUGAGAGUAGGCAAAUCCGCUCUCAUAAUGCUGAGGCGUGAUGGGGAAGGUUCUACGGAACCGAAGUACAUGAUUCCACGCUGCCAAGAAAAGCGUCUAGAGAGAGAAGUAGUGCCCGUACCGCAAACCGACACAGGUAGGUGAGGAGAGAAUCCUAAGGCCGGCGGAAGAAUUACAGUUAAGGAACUCGGCAAAUUGACCCCGUAAGUUCGCGAGAAGGGGUGCCUACGAGAGUAGGCCGCAGAGAAUAGGCCCAAGCAACUGUUUAGCAAAAACACAGGUCUCUGCUAAAGCGUAAGCUGAUGUAUAGGGGCUGACGCCUGCCCGGUGCUGGAAGGUUAAGGGGAACACUUAGCGUAAGCGAAGGUGUGAACUUAAGCCCCAGUAAACGGCGGCCGUAACUAUAACGGUCCUAAGGUAGCGAAAUUCCUUGUCAGGUAAGUUCUGACCCGCACGAAUGGCGUAAUGACUUGGGCACUGUCUCAACUGUAAAUCCGGCGAAGUUGUAGUGCGAGUGAAGAUGCUCGCUACCCGCGAUUGGACGGAAAGACCCCGUAGAGCUUUACUGUAGCUUAGCAUUGAGUUUUGGUAUUGUCUGUACAGGAUAGGUGGGAGACUAGGAAACCAGGGCGUCAGCCUUGGUGGAGUCAAUCUUGGGAUACCACCCUGACAGUACUGAAAUUCUAACUGGCGGCCAUGAAUCUGGUCACAGGACAUUGUUAGGUGGGCAGUUUGACUGGGGCGGUCGCCUCCUAAAAAGUAACGGAGGCGCCCAAAGGUUCCCUCAGAACGGUCGGAAAUCGUUCGAAGAGUGCAAAGGCAGAAGGGAGCCUGACUGCGACACCCACAAGUGGAGCAGGGACGAAAGUCGGGCUUAGUGAUCCGGUGGUACCUCGUGGGAGGGCCAUCGCUCAACGGAUAAAAGCUACCUCGGGGAUAACAGGCUGAUCUCCCCCAAGAGUCCACAUCGACGGGGAGGUUUGGCACCUCGAUGUCGGCUCGUCGCAUCCUGGGGCUGAAGUAGGUCCCAAGGGUUGGGCUGUUCGCCCAUUAAAGCGGCACGCGAGCUGGGUUCAGAACGUCGUGAGACAGUUCGGUCCCUAUCCGUCGCGGGCGUAGGAAAUUUGAGAGGAGCUGUCCUUAGUACGAGAGGACCGGGAUGGACUGACCUCUGGUGUACCAGUUGUUCCGCCAGGAGCACAGCUGGGUAGCUAAGUCGGGAAUGGAUAAACGCUGAAAGCAUCUAAGCGUGAAGCCAACCUCAAGAUGAGAUUUCCCAUAGCGUAAGCUAGUAAGAUCCCUUGAAGAACACAAGGUUGAUAGGUCGGGGGUGUAAGCAUGGUAACAUGUUCAGCUGACCGAUACUAAUAGAUCGAGGGCUUGACCAA